rnacentral:lncRNA from 1 species
UUUACUUCUCAUGAAUAUCUUUAUUCUUAUCUUUUCGUUCUUCCCAACUUCUGCUCGUUUGUCACAGUACAUGCGCAGAUGCGCCUUGGGAUCUCCAGUCCCAUUGUAUAACUCAAAUUUUAGAGGUUUGUACCCCUUCGAAAAAUCAACAUCAGGGUGAACGCACAAGUCUUCAUAGCUAAGCCCUCUCAAUCCCUUAUUUUCUUCUAGCUGCCUUAGCCUUUUG